UGGCUUUUGUGCUAUGUCCAGUAUU
rnacentral:piRNA from 1 species